UAGAACCCAGGACCAAAAAGCAAUGUUUCAACCCCUUAGGGCCUUUGUCAAGCUACUAAACCACAUAUUCAAUUUACAAUAUAUAAGAGCAUAUAACAAUUAACAAGUGAAAAAACCUGUGAUGUGGUAUUAAAUUAAUCACAUGAUCAAUCAAUAUUAAUGAAAAACACAAACAAAUCAAAAUUGUCUCUCCAAUCAUUGUUUCACAUAUUGGGGAUGUCACAGACACUUAAAUAGGUAUAGCCAAUAAAGCAUCAAUUUACUAGUCAGUAAGUUUAA